rnacentral:rRNA from 1 species
AUUGAACGCUGGCGGCAUGCCUUACACAUGCAAGUCGAACGGUAGCGCGGGGCAACCUGGCGACGAGUGGCGAACGGGUGAGUAAAGCAUCGGAACGUGCCCUGGAAUGGGGGAUAACGUAGCGAAAGUUACGCUAAUACCGCAUAUUCUGUGAGCAGGAAAGCAGGGGAUCGCAAGACCUUGCGUUCUGGGAGCGGCCGAUGUCGGAUUAGCUAGUUGGUGGGGUAAAAGCCUACCAAGGCGACGAUCCGUAGCGGGUCUGAGAGGAUGAUCCGCCACACUGGGACUGAGACACGGCCCAGACUCCUACGGGAGGCAGCAGUGGGGAAUUUUGGACAAUGGGCGCAAGCCUGAUCCAGCCAUGCCGCGUGAGUGAAGAAGGCCUGG